rnacentral:sRNA from 1 species
GUGUUCAUGUUUUGAUCAAUUCUUGUCGAUACUAGGUCAUGAGAGGUCAUGUGUGUUCAUGUGAUGUUCGUCUUGUCGAUACUAGGUCAUGAGAGGUCAUGUGUGUUCAUGUGAUGUUCGUCUUGUCGAUACUAGGUCAUGAGAGGUCAUGUGUGUUCAUGUGUUGUUCGUCUUGUCGAUACUAGGUCAUGAGAGGUCAUGUGUGUUCAUGUGUUGUUCGUCUUGUCGAUACUAGGUCAUGAGAGGUCAUGUGUGUUCAUGUUUUGAUCAAGUCUUGUCAAUACUAGGUCAUGAGAGGUCAUGUGUGUUCAUGUGUUGUUCGUCUUGUCGAUACUAGGUCAUGAGAGGUCAUGUGUGUUAAUGUUUUGAUAAAGUCUUGUCAAAACUAGGUCAUGAGAGGUCAUGUGUGUUCAUGCUUGAUUAAGUCUUGUCGAUACUAGGUCAUGAGGGGUCAUGUGUGUUCAUGUUUUGAUCAUGUCUUGUCGAUACUAGGUCAUGAGAGGUCAUGUGUGUUCAUGCUUUGAUCAAGUCUUGUCGAUACUAGGUCAUGAGAGGUCAAGUACCAAAGACUAAAAGUGAGUUCCAGUCACAUUGAAAGAGAGCAUAAGUACGAGCACUAAGUGUGUUUAGCCUUAUGUUUGAUGUCAAUAAAUGUUGCAAGAUAGUU